rnacentral:lncRNA from 1 species
GCCAAAAUUUGUAAACACAAAUUUUUUGUAUUUCAAUUUGAUAAAAUACAAAACGCGUCACAAAGAUAAUUUGAUAGAAUUUGAUAGAUAGAUUUAUGCGGGUUGCAAUCUCUAGUUAAUCCUCUGAUUCUUCUCUUCCAUUUGAUUCUUGAACAAGCUCGAAGGUUCUUGAAAUACUUGUUUUGAUGACGCCAAUCCAAAGGACUUAAGUCAUGAUUUUGGAUUGAACGUUGAACUUGAUUUGAUUUGAGAAGAACGUCCUUAGAA